rnacentral:rRNA from 1 species
AGCGAACGCUGGCGGCAGGCUUAACACAUGCAAGUCGAACGGGCACUUCGGUGCUAGUGGCAGACGGGUGAGUAACACGUGGGAACGUACCUCUCGGUUCGGAAUAAUUCAGGGAAACUUGGACUAAUACCGGAUAAGCCCUUCGGGGGAAAGAUUUAUCGCCGAUAGAUCGGCCCGCGUCUGAUUAGCUAGUUGGUGAGGUAAUGGCUCACCAAGGCGACGAUCAGUAGCUGGUCUGAGAGGAUGAUCAGCCACAUUGGGACUGAGACACGGCCCAAACUCCUACGGGAGGCAGCAGUGGGGAAUAUUGGACAAUGGGCGAAAGCCUGAUCCAGCCAUGCCGCGUGAGUAAUGAAGGCCUUAGGGUUGUAAAGCUCUUUUGUCCGGGAAGAUAAUGACUGUACCGGAAGAAUAAGCCCCGGCUAACUUCGUGCCAGCAGCCGCCGUAAUAC